rnacentral:rRNA from 1 species
CGCGCAGGCGGCGCACCAAGUCAGGCGUGAAAGCCCCGGGCUCAACCUGGGAAUUGCGCUUGAUACUGGGGUGCUGGAGUUCGGGAGAGGAGAGUGGAAUUCCCAGUGUAGAGGUGAAAUUCGUAGAUAUUGGGAAGAACACCGGUGGCGAAGGCGGCUCUCUGGACCGAGACUGACGCUGAGGCGCGAAAGCGUGGGGAGCAAACAGGAUUAGAUACCCUGGUAGUCCACGCCGUAAACGAUGUGUGCUAGACGUUGGCGGGCCUAGCCUGUCAGUGUCGCAGCUAACGCGAUAAGCACACCGCCUGGGGAGUACGGCCGCAAGGUUAAA